rnacentral:rRNA from 1 species
UACGGAGGAUCCGAGCGUUAUCCGGAUUUAUUGGGUUUAAAGGGUGCGCAGGCGGAAGAUUAAGUCGGUGGUGAAAUUUUGCAGCUCAACUGUAAAAGUGCCAUUGAUACUGGUUUUCUUGAGUGUGGAUGAAGUAGGCGGAAUUUGUGGUGUAGCGGUGAAAUGCAUAGAUAUCACGCAGAACUCCGAUUGCGAAGGCAGCUUACUAAACCAUAACUGACACUGAAGCACGAAAGCGUGGGUAUCAAACAGGAUUAGAUACCCCGGUA